AACACCCGUCGACCGGUGGAAGGCCCGGGGCCCGGGGUACUGGGCCCCUGACCUUCCGCCGGCGGUCGGCGCUCCGC
rnacentral:pre_miRNA from 1 species